CAUCGGAGGCUAGGAAAAUCGAGCCAACCCUUACCAUUCUAAGGUCGUUGGCAUGAGGAGGUUUAGGACCUCCUGAUCCAGAAGCCGAGGUGCUGGGGGACUUUCGAUCUUGAUGCAGGUGCUUUGACCAUCUGCAGGCUCAGCUAUCCUUUUUCAAUGGAUCUUCUUAUCUGGUUUCUCUAGUGAGCUCGCAUCCUUCUCUGCAACCACCUCUGCAACCAGGGCAAGUAAGUUGUCGGCAAGAGCAUGAUGAAAAUCAAAGAAUAUAAGAUCCUAAAGGCAGAUGACACGCACCUCGAGAGGCAACCUGGUUGAUGCCAACAUUGAACAGCAUCUGGGCUGAUAGCAUCUCCUUCAGCUUCGAAAUCUUGAAGCCGUGAAUGGUUGCCAACUCCUACCUCAAGUGUUCAUUUAUUGAAGGCUAACUCUUUUAGUUUGGCCUCUUGAGGUUCAUCCCAAGCGGCGAACCCCCAAUCCUUAUCGAAUGUCUGAGAGACGAAGAGGAAUCGUGGUUUCUAACUAUGAAUGGUGGUGGAGAUCCUCAAAAAAGAUAGUGGGUUCAUCCUUCUUCUUCCACGAUGUCAUGUACCACCAGCCGCAGGACUCCGGAUGCCUUUUGAGGCUGAAGAGGGAAUGGAAGAGCGUGACAUUGGGAUCAAUCCCCGUCAGUAUGCAUACUACAGUGAAGCCACAGAUAUAUCGCUACGAGUUCAGGACCACUUAGCAUGGCGACAUCUCAAAGUAAUGGAAGAGAGCUGUGAAGAAAGGAUGAAGAGAAAGCC
rnacentral:lncRNA from 1 species